rnacentral:rRNA from 1 species
UUGAACGCUGGCGGCAUGCUUUACACAUGCAAGUCGAACGGUAACAGGUUAAGCUGACGAGUGGCGAACGGGUGAGUAAUGCAUCGGAACGUGCCCGAUCGUGGGGGAUAACGCAGCGAAAGCUGCGCUAAUACCGCAUACGAUCUGAGGAUGAAAGCGGGGGACCGUAAGGCCUCGCGCGAUCGGAGCGGCCGAUGUCAGAUUAGGUAGUUGGUGGGGUAAAGGCCCACCAAGGCGACGAUCUGUAGCUGGUCUGAGAGGACGACCAGCCACACUGGAACUGAGACACGGUCCAGACUCCUACGGGAGGCAGCAGUGGGGAAUUUUGGACAAUGGGCGCAAGCCUGAUCCAGCCAUACCGCGUGAGUGAAGAAGGCCUUCGGGUUGUAAAGCUCUUUCAGCCGGAAAGAAAUCGUGCAGAUUAACACUCUGUAUGGAUGACGGUACCGGAAGAAGAAGCACCGGCUAACUACGU